rnacentral:rRNA from 1 species
UGGGGAAUUUUGGACAAUGGGCGAAAGCCUGAUCCAGCAAUGCCGCGUGUGUGAAGAAGGCCUUCGGGUUGUAAAGCACUUUUGUCCGGAAAGAAAUCCUUGGCUCUAAUACAGUCGGGGGAUGACGGUACCGGAAGAAUAAGCACCGGCUAACUACGUGCCAGCAGCCGCGGUAAUACGUAGGGUGCAAGCGUUAAUCGGAAUUACUGGGCGUAAAGCGUGCGCAGGCGGUUUGCUAAGACCGAUGUGAAAUCCCCGGGCUCAACCUGGGAACUGCAUUGGUGACUGGCAGGCUAGAGUAUGGCAGAGGGGGGUAGAAUUCCACGUGUAACAGUGAAAUGCGUAGAGAUGUGGAGGAAUACCGAUGGCGAAGGCAGCCCCCUGGGCCAAUACUGACGCUCAUGCACGAAAGCGUGGGGAGCAAACAGGAUUAGAUACCCUGGUAGUCCACGCCCUAAACGAUGUCAACUAGUUGUUGGGGAUUCAUUUCCUUAGUAACGUAGCUAACGCGUGAAGUUGACCGCCUGGGGAGUACGGUCGCAAGAUUAAAACUUAAAGGAAUUGACGGGGUCAUAGCUGUUUCCU